AUUGAACGCUGGCGGCAGGCCUAACACAUGCAAGUCGAACGAGUGGCGGACGGGUGAGUAAUGUCUGGGAAACUGCCCGAUGGAGGGGGAUAACUACUGGAAACGGUAGCUAAUACCGCAUACCAUCGGAUGUGCCCAGUUGGGAUUAGCUAGUAGGUGGGCUAACGGAUCACCUAGGCGACGAUACCUAGCUGGUCUGAGAGGAUGACCAGCCAAGCUGGGAUUGAGAGGCGGUCCAGACUCCUACGGGAGGCGGCAGUGGAGAAUGUUGCACAGUGAGCGCAAGCCUAGUGCGGCCAUGCCGAGUGUAUGGAGGAGGCCUUCGGGUUGUAAGGUACUUUCAGCGAGAAGGCGUUACUCGCAGAAGAAGCGCCGGCUAACUCCGUACCAGCAGCCGCGGUAAUAC
rnacentral:rRNA from 1 species